CUCAUCAGACGCAGAGCUUCUGGAAGCCACCAGUCCUCCCAGUCCGGAGCGGAUGAUGAUCAGACCCCAGGAGCAGAUUAUGAAAACAUUUCCGUGGCAAGAAAUGUCCCGAACUCAGGAGAUCACCAGGCAGAUCCAAAAGCCAUCUACAUGG